rnacentral:rRNA from 1 species
GUGCACCAGUCGAGAAUAGUCUACAAUGGACGAAAGUCUGAUAGUGCGACGCCGUGUGUGCGAUUAAUUCCUUCGGGAUGUAAAGCACUUUUCUAUGAGAUAAAAGCUCUUUAGGUUAAUAGCUUAUUGAGACGGAUAUUAUUAUAGGAAUAAGCUCCGGCUAACUCCGUGCCAGCAGCCGCGGUAAUACGGAAGGAGCGAGCGUUGUCCGGAUUUACUAGGCGUAAAGGGCUAGUAGGCGACUAAUUAAGUUAUAUGUUAAAUCCCACGGCUCAACUGUGGUCCUGCAUGUAAUACUGGUUAGAUAGAGUACUGUAGAGGAAGGCAGAAUUCCUGGAGUAGCGGUGGAAUGCGCAGAUAUCAGAAGAAUACCAAAAGCGAAGGCAGCCUUCUGGGCAGUUACUGACGCUGAAUAGCGAAGGUGUGGGUAGCGAACAGG